AUUCUGGUUCCUGAUUCUUCUUCCUUAUUCUUGGUUCCUGAUUCCCAAUAAACCUCCCAGCUGCUGAUCUUUGGCUUUGACCCUGACCAUGCUUUUUGUCUCCAACCUUUGACCUUUGGCAUCCUGCUCCAAUUCAUGGAUUUCCUCGCUUCUGAAUUUCGGCUUGACUCUUGACUUGACUUGACUCUUUUGCUGCCACCCCUGAUCUUUGGACCUCCUGAUGCCACUUUCUAUCUGCUCCUUUCUGGCUACAUCACUUCCUCUGUAAGUUAUUGCACCCA